rnacentral:pre_miRNA from 1 species
AAUAAGUGCAGCCGUGGAUAUCCGUGCCCAACGUUUGACCGUCCGUCUUAUUUGAAAAAUUUAUAAAAAAUUUAAAAAUAUUUAAUCACACAUAAAGUACUAUUCAUGUUUUAUCAUCUAAUAGCAAUAAAAAUACUAAUCAUAAAAAAUUUUCAAAUAAGAGGAACGGUCAAACGUUGAACGUGAAUAGUGUAAAACUGCACUUAUU